ACGGAAGGCAGCAGUGGGGAAUAUUGGACAAUGGGGGAAACCCUGAUCCAGCGACGCCGCGUGAGUGAAGAAGUAUUUCGGUAUGUAAAGCUCUAUCAGCAAGGAAGAAAAUGACGGUACUUGACUAAGAAGCUCCGGCUAAAUACGUGCCAGCAGCCGCGGUAAUACGUAGGUGGCAAGCGUUAUCCGGAUUUACUGGGUGUAAAGGGCGCGUAGGCGGGGAUGCAAGUCAGGUGUGAAAUCUAUGGGCUUAACCCAUAAACUGCAUUUGAAACUGUAUCUCUUGAGUGUCGGAGAGGUAGACGGAAUUCCUAGUGUAGCGGUGAAAUGCGUAGAUAUUAGGAGGAACACCAGUGGCGAAGGCGGUCUACUGGACGAUAACUGACGCUGAGGCGCGAAAGCGUGGGGAGCAAACAGGAUUAGAUACCCUGGUA
rnacentral:rRNA from 1 species